AGUGGUUUUUCCGAUUUAUGUUCUGAAUCUGCCAAACUUGAACCCUUUUUGUGCGCUGAACUUUAGACAGUCAUAUCUUCUAAACCAUGAAUCGUCUUGGGGUAAAUCCAACUGGAGAGUGUCACGCUCUCUCCCUAGUUUCCGGAUUGACCCUUGGGGUUCCCAGUGGAGUUUUGUAAUGGGAGAUAUGAAUUUUUAAAGAAAGCCCACUGACUUGGUUGUAAUCUGGAAAUCUGAAAUUUUCAGAUCUUUGCUUGUUAAAUACCCAUCUUCGAGAGGGCAUAUCUUGCUCGUUUGAACUUUGUUUUAUUCGAUUCAAAUUGGAGAAUGAUCCUUGAAAUGUCUAGUUUCCAGAAUGUCUUUUGGAGCCUCAUUUGGAGAUCCGAGGAGGAUUUGGUGUCUGUUGCAAAACAACCCCUUAAGAGCUCAAGUUGUUGAAUUAUUUUCUAUGUAUCAAAGUUGAUUUUAAAGGAUGUUUCAUGAAAGAUUUAGUAUAUGUGCGUAACGAGUUUGGGACAUGUUUUGUGCAAAGUUUUUAUGAAAAUGAGUGAGUUAACCUAGAUAAGGCAUCAAGAUAAGCUAAUGUAUGUAAAAUGCAUAAUCCCUAGUUCGAUUAUGCGUUGUAAGUUCGGGAAUAGGUUGACCCAGAGACCCUAAGUAGACAACGAUUAUCGUUAUCUAUGGUAUGUGCUAAGUGCUAAGAACUCGUCUUGUAGGAAAUGGUUCACAGGACGGUACGACAACUUAAGACCACCUCUCUUCCAUACCGAGGAUCAGGUUGAGCAGUGGCUGAUGAAGAUGAAGUGACGAGUGGAGCUUUUGUCAUAAGUCGAUUAAAUGAACUCUUGGAUACAUGUCUUCAUACAUGUAAUCAGAUUAUAUUUUCCGCUGCGUAUUCUUCAGUAAUAAGCCCUUUUGAAUUAAGUCGGAUUCAUCCGAACUUACUAGUUAUUUGAAUCUUUGUAACUAAACAUAAGUUAUAUCAUAAAUGUCCCCUUCACUGUUAAUGAUUAAGUUCGAUCCUUCAUAAA